UACGGGGGGGGUAAGCGUUGUUCGGAAUUAUUGGGCGUAAAGAGCUCGUAGGCGGUUUGUCGCGUCGGCCGUGAAAUCUCCACGCUUAACGUGGAGCGUGCGGUCGAUACGGGCAGACUUGAGUUCGGUAGGGGAGACUGGAAUUCCUGGUGUAGCGGUGAAAUGCGCAGAUAUCAGGAGGAACACCGGUGGCGAAGGCGGGUCUCUGGGCCGAUACUGACGCUGAGGAGCGAAAGCGUGGGGAGCGAACAGG
rnacentral:rRNA from 1 species